rnacentral:rRNA from 1 species
CGGGACGGGUGAGUAAUGUCUGGGAAACUGCCUGAUGGAGGGGGAUAACUACUGGAAACGGUAGCUAAUACCGCAUAACGUCGCAAGACCAAAGAGGGGACCUUAGGGCCUCUUGCCAUCGGAUGUGCCCAGAUGGGAUUAGCUAGUAGGUGGGGUAAAGGCUCACCUAGGCGACGAUCCCUAGCUGGUCUGAGAGGAUGACCAGCCACACUGGAACUGAGACACGGUCCAG